GCUGGGCAUGGUGGUGCAUGCCUAUAAUCCUGCUACUCAGGAGGCUGAGGUAGGAGGAUCACAAAUUUGAGGCCAGCCUCAGCAAUGUAGUGAGACCCUGUCUCAA
rnacentral:sRNA from 1 species